AAGCAGCUUCUCUGCUCCUUCUGGGAUCUCCGCAUGGUUCAGCCCACCUGCCUCCACUCCUGCCUCCACCAUGUCCAUCAGGGUGACUCAGAAGUCCUACAAGGUACCCACCUCUGGUCCCCAGGCCUUCAGCAGCCGCUCCUACACGAGUGGGCCCAGUGCCUGCAUCAGCUCCUCAAGCUUCUCUCGGGUGGGCAGCAGCAGCUUCCGGGGUGGCCUGGGCGGAGGCUGUGGUGGGGCCAGUGGCACGGGAGGCAUCACCACUGUCACGGUCAACCAGAGCCUGCUGAGCCCCCUUAACCUGGAGGUGGACCCCAACAUCCAGGCCGCGCGCGCCCAGGAGAAGGAGCAGAUCAAGACCCUCAACAACAAGUUUGCCUCCUUCACAGACAAGGUACAGUUCCUAGAGCAGCAGAACAAGAUGCUGGAGACCAAGUGAAGCCUCCGGCAGCAGGAGAAGAUUGCUGGGAGCAACACUAACAACUUGUUGGAAAGCUAUAUCAACAACCUUAGGCGGCAGCUGGAGACUCUGGGCCAGGAGAAGCUGAAGCUGGAGGUGGAGCUUGGCAACAUGCAGGGGCUGGUGGAGGACUUCAAGAACAAGUAUGAGGAUGAGGUCAAUAAGCUUACAGAGAUGGAGGAUGAACUUGUCCUCAUCGAGAAGGAUGUGGAUGAAGCUUACAUGAACAAGGCAGAGCUGGGAUCUCACCUGGAAGGGCUGACUGAUGAGAUCAACUUCCUCAGGCAGCUGUAUGAAGUGGAGAUCCCAGAGCUGCAGUCCCAGAUCUCCGACACAUCUGUGGUGCUGUCCAAGGAAAACAGCCGCUCCCCGGGCAUGGACAGCAUGCAUCAUCACUGACAUCAAGGUGCAGUACGAGGAGAUUGCCAAGCGUAGCCAGGCUGAGGCUGACAGCGUGUACCAGGUAAGUAUGAGGUGCUGCAGACGCUGGCUGGGAAGCACGGGAAUGACCUGCGGCGCACAAAGACAGAUCUCCGAGAUGAACCGGAACCUGCCGGCUCCAGGCUGAGACUGAGGGCCUCAAAGGCCAGACGGCGUCCCCGAAGGCCGCCAUCGCAGAUGCCGAGCAGUGUGGAGAGCUGUCCGUUAAGGAUGCCAACGCCAAGCUGUCUGAGCUGGAGGCCGCCCAGCAGCGGGCCAAGCAGGACAUGGCGCGGCGGCUGCAUGAGUACAAGGAGCUGAUGAACAUCAAGCUGGCCCAGGACAUCGAGAUCGCCACCUACAGGAAGCUGCCGGAGGGCGAGGAGAGCCGGCUGGAGUCUGGGAUGCAGAACAGGAGUACCCAUACAAAGACCUCCAGCAGCUAUGCAGGUGGUCUGAGCUCGGCCUUUGGGGGUCUCACAAGCCCCGGCCUCAGCUGCAGCCUGGGUUCCGGCUUUGACUCUGGCGCGGGCUCCAGCUCCUUCAGCAGCACCAGCUCCACCAGGGCCGUGGUUGUGAAGAUCAAGACCCGGAGUCCUCUGAUGUCCUGCCCAAGUGAACAGCCAGGGCAGCCUCUCCCAGCCUGCCCCUCCUGCAGCUGCCACAGAGGCUGCUGUGCUGGGGAGCAUAGGGAACAGGAGACCCACCUGAGGCUCAGCCCUAGCCCUCAGCCCACCAGUGGGGGAGUUUACUGA